UACGUAGGGUGCAAGCGUUGUCCGGAAUUAUUGGGCGUAAAGAGCUCGUAGGCGGUCUGUCGCGUCUGCUGUGAAAACUCGGGGCUUAACCCGGCCUGCAGUGGGUACGGGCAGACUAGAGUGCGGUAGGGGAGACUGGAAUUCCUGGUGUAGCGGUGAAAUGCGCAGAUAUCAGGAGGAACACCGGUGGCGAAGGCGGGUCUCUGGGCCGUAACUGACGCUGAGGAGCGAAAGCGUGGGGAGCGAACAGG
rnacentral:rRNA from 1 species